UACAGAGGGGGCAAGCGUUGUUCGGAAUUACUGGGCGUAAAGGGCGCGUAGGCGGCCUUCUAAGUCGAACGUGAAAUCCCCGGGCUCAACCCGGGAACUGCGUCCGAUACUGGAAGGCUUGAAUCCGGGAGAGGGAUGCGGAAUUCCAGGUGUAGCGGUGAAAUGCGUAGAUAUCUGGAGGAACACCGGUGGCGAAGGCGGCAUCCUGGACCGUAACUGACGCUGAGGAGCGAAAGCGUGGGGAGCGAACAGG
rnacentral:rRNA from 1 species